UACGGGGGGGGCAAGCGUUGUUCGGAAUUACUGGGCGUAAAGGGCUCGUAGGCGGCCAACUAAGUCAUACGUGAAAUCCCUCGGCUUAACCGGGGAACUGCGUCUGAUACUGGAUGGCUUGAGUUCGGGAGAGGGAUGCGGAAUUCCAGGUGUAGCGGUGAAAUGCGCAGAUAUCAGGAAGAACACCCGUGGCUAAGGCGGCUCUCUAGUACGGUACUGACGCUGAGACGCGAAAGCGUGGGGAGCGAACAGG
rnacentral:rRNA from 1 species